GACGAACGCUGGCGGCGUGCCUAAUACAUGCAAGUCGAACGCUUCUUUUUCCACCGGAGCUUGCUCCACCGGAAAAAGAGGAGUGGCGAACGGGUGAGUAACACGUGGGUAACCUGCCCAUCAGAAGGGGAUAACACUUGGAAACAGGUGCUAAUACCGUAUAACAAUACGAAACUAGCAUGGUUUUGGUAUUUGUAAAGGACGCUUUCGGGUUGUCGCUGAUGGAUGGACCCGCGGUGCAUUAGCUAGUUGGUGAGGUAACGGCUCACCAAGGCGACGAUGCAUAGCCGACCUGAGAGGGUGAUCGG
rnacentral:rRNA from 1 species